rnacentral:rRNA from 1 species
UUGAGUUGCGAACGGGUGAGUAACACGUGGGUAACCUGCCCAUCAGAAGGGGAUAACACUUGGGAACAGGUGCUAAUACCGUAUAACAAUCGAAACCGCAUGGUUUCGUUUUGAAAGGCGCUUUACGGUGCCGCUGAUGGAUGGACCCGCGGUGCAUUAGCUAGUUGGUGAGGUAACGGCUCACCAAGGCCACGAUGCAUAGCCGACCUGAGAGGGUGAUCGGCCGCAUUGGGACUGAGACACGGCCCAAACUCCUACGGGAGGCAGCAGUAGGGAAUCUUCGGCAAUGGACGAAAGUCUGACCGAGCAACGCCGCGUGAGUGAAGAAGGUUUUCGGAUCGUAAAACUCUGUUGUUAGAGAAGAACAAGGGUGAGAGUAACUGUUCACCCCUUGACGGUAUCUAACCAGAAAGCCACGGCUAACUACGUGCCAGCAGCCGCGGUAAUACGUAGGUGGCAAGCGUUGUCCGGAUUUAUUGGGCGUAAAGCGAGCGCAGGCGGUUUCUUAAGUCUGAUGUGAAAGCCCCCGGCUCAACCGGGGAGGGUCAUUGGAAACUGGGAGACUUGAGUGCAGAAGAGGAGAGUGGAAUUCCAUGUGUAGCGGUGAAAUGCGUAGAUAUAUGGAGGAACACCAGUGGCGAAGGCGGCUCUCUGGUCUGUAACUGACGCUGAGGCUCGAAAGCGUGGGGAGCAAACAGGAUUAGAUACCCUGGUAGUCCACGCCGUAAACGAUGAGUGCUAAGUGUUGGAGGGUUUCCGCCCUUCAGUGCUGCAGCUAACGCAUUAAGCACUCCGCCUGGGGAGUACGACCGCAAGGUUGAAACUCAAAGGAAUUGACGGGGGCCCGCACAAGCGGUGGAGCAUGUGGUUUAAUUCGAAGCAACGCGAAGAACCUUACCAGGUCUUGACAUCCUUUGACCACUCUAGAGAUAGAGCUUCCCCUUCGGGGGCAAAGUGACAGGUGGUGCAUGGUUGUCGUCAGCUCGUGUCGUGAGAUGUUGGGUUAAGUCCCGCAACGAGCGCAACCCUUAUUGUUAGUUGCCAUCAUUUAGUUGGGCACUCUAGCAAGACUGCCGGUGACAAACCGGAGGAAGGUGGGGAUGACGUCAAAUCAUCAUGCCCCUUAUGACCUGGGCUACACACGUGCUACAAUGGGAAGUACAACGAGUCGCGAAGUCGCGAGGCUAAGCUAAUCUCUUAAAGCUUCUCUCAGUUCGGAUUGUAGGCUGCAACUCGCCUACAUGAAGCCGGAAUCGCUAGUAAUCGCGGAUCAGCACGCCGCGGUGAAUACGUUCCCGGGCCUUGUACACACCGCCCGUCACACCACGAGAGUUUGUAACACCCGAAGUCGGUGAGGUAACCUUUUUGGAGCCAGCCGCCUAAGGUGGGAUAGAUGAUUGGGGUGAAGUCGUAACAAG